rnacentral:tRNA from 1 species
GGGCGUGUAUCCCCUCGCUCUGAUAAGGCGUAGAAAGGGUAGCCGGUCACACGGAGGUUCGACUCCUCCCACGCCCA